rnacentral:rRNA from 1 species
UUGCAUCGAUGAAGAACGCAGCGAAAUGCGAUAAGUAAUGUGAAUUGCAGAAUUCAGUGAAUCAUCGAAUCUUUGAACGCACAUUGCGCCCCCUGGUAUUCCGGGGGGCAUGCCUGUUCGAGCGUCAUUACAACCCUCAAGCUCUGCUUGGUAUUGGGCCCCGCCGGUUCCGGCGGGCCCUAAAGUCAGUGGCGGUGCCAUCCGGCUCCGAGCGUAGUAAUUCUUCUCGCUCUGGAGACCCGGCUGUGUGCUUGCCAGCAACCCCCAAUUUUUUAAGGUUGACCUCGGAUCAGGUAGGGAUACCCGCUGAACUUAAGCAUAUCAAUAAGCGGAGGAA